AUGCUCACUUUGGCAACACAUACUCUCAAAUUGGAACUAUUCAUCGAUGUUUAGCAUGGCCCCUGCACACAGAUAAUGCACAAAAUCGUGAAGCGUUUCAUAUUGUU